ensembl:lncRNA
CAUUACACAGGUGCGCCUUGUGCUGAGGAAAGUAGGCUACACAACCACAUCUUUCCAAGUCACACUAAAUACAUUACCACGUCUUUCCUACAGAGGUCACUAAAUACACUCUUUCCAAGAAGUCACACUAAAUACACUACCACAUCUUUCCUACAGAGGUCACUAAAUACACUCUUUCCAAGAAGUCACACUAAAUACACUACCACAUCUUUCCUACAGAGGUCUCUAAAUACACUACCACAUCUUUAAUACAGAGGUCUCUAAAUACACUACCACAUCUUUCCUACAGAGGUCUCUAAAUACACUACCACAUCUUUUCAAUAGGAGGUCACUACAGACUAGAUCUACCCUCAACCACUGAACCUCUAAAUAUUUUUACCUAACCAUCCAUUUCAUAAAUGAGAUGUAGAAAAAAAAAUCAACUACGUUUUUUUUUUCUCUCACCUCAUCUCAAUGUGUGGGCCUUGCUACCAGCCUGGAAGUAGUUUACAAACACUCAGCUGCUGCUUAUCUUCAGUGGUUGAAUAUAGAAUUAAAAGAACUAGAAGCUUUACCAGCCUGGAAGUAGUUUACAAACAUCGCUCAGCUGCUGCUUAUCUUCAGUGGUUGAAUAUAGAAUUAAAAGAACUAGAAGCUUUACCAGCGGCUACGGUAGUUUAAAAACAGAAAAUCUGAGCUAUUCUAAGUUUGUACAAAUCUUCUAAAAAAACAGGAAUAGCAUUUCUUCUAUAACACCAUUAUCCAACACCAUCUACAAAAACAGCAAAAUAUUCUUUAUUGGAAAUAAUAAUAAUCUAGUCAUAGCAACAGAACUACACAUGGCACGGCUCUGAGAAACCACAGGUGGAAAACACAUCAAACAGACUGAAGUGGAUAAGGAGAAACAAAAGGCAUGUGUUGGUAUAUAAUAUAAUAAUAUAUAUAUAUACACACACAUAUAUCCACUGUGCAGAAUGCGUCCAAAUCAACUCGUCAUGUUGCAAAACAUGUUUUAUAAUAAAAAUAAAUUUCAGUUAACUUUCCCCAUAUUCCCGGGUAACUUUCCCCAUAUUCCCGGGUAACUUUCCCCAUAUUCCCAGGUUUUCCAGGAAUCCUGGUUUGAAGAUACUAGAUUUCUUCCUUGAUUGAUCCAACCUAGAUUUCUAGAGAAUUUGGGGAAAAGUUACUGGAAUUUUGCAACACUAAGUCAUACACAAUUCCAACAGAUUACAGGAAUGUUAUGGUCAGGAGAGAGGACAUCAACAAUAAUGUGAUUGAUGAUUUUGUAAUGUUUCAUAACCAAGGGAAUCAAGGGUUUGGACCAUGGAAAUAGACUCUAGAUAUGUAGAGUGUACCAAUAUGUGUACCAAUAUGUAUACUGAACAAAAAUAUAAAUGCAACAUUAAAGUAUUGGUCCCAUGUUUCAUGAGCUGAAAUAAAAGAUCCAUGAAAUUGGCUUAUUUCUCUCAUUUUGUGCACAAAUUCAUUUGCAUCCCUGUUAGUGAGCAUUUGGUCCUUUGCCAAGGUAAUCCAUCCAGCUGGCAGGUGUGACGUAUCAAGAAGCUGAUUAAUCAGCAUGAUCAUUACACGUGUGCACCUUGUGCUGGGGACAAUAAAAGGCUACUAUAAAAUGUGCGGUUUUGUCACACAACACAACGCCACAGAUGUCUCAAGUUAUGAGGGAGCGUGCAAUUGGCAUGGUGACUGCAGGAAUGUCCACCACAGCUGUUGCCCGAGAAUUGAAUGUUAAUAUCUCAACCAUAAGCCACCUAACGGAUUUCUGUGUUUACAUGUUGCGUUUAUAUUUUUUGUUCAGUUGUGUCGCAAUAGAGGAAUAUUUUACAUUCAAACAGAAAUUAGGAGAAUUAAUUCAUGUUCAUCAAGGCCUUGGAAAAACCUGACAAGUGACCAAAGAGACGCGAGACGAGAAACAGAGGCGAUAUUAGACAUAACAGAAGUGAUAUUAACAGGAAGUCACCAAGUGCCUGAAUUUCAGCCUCAGUCAGAUAAAUAACAAUGUGAUAUACUGAAAGUCUAAUGCAGUAGCUCGAAUCAUACCGGCAUAGCAUAGACUUAAAAAAAAAAAUCAGGAUUAUAAAUAAUAUACAUUAUGUACACAUUUACACAUGUAAACAUUCUCCACCCUACUCUAACCACCUGACAGGACAUGCGUGGGCGACAUCCUGUCACUGUUUUUGGUUUGACUGGUGCGGAGAGCUACAGUAAGUCCCACUGAACGCCAGGGAAACAGGAAUUCAAAUGACCCUCACAGGACGUGAGAGCUGCUUGCAUAUUUGUUUUUCCUAGGAGAUUUUUAUGGAGUCAAAGUCAAUUGUCUAUAUCGUAAAAAUACAUCAAAAAUAAAAAUGAUAUUUUUGGUGUUAAUUUAAGGUUAGGCGUAAGGUUAGCAGUGUGGUUACGGUUAGGCAUAAGGUUAGCAGUGUGGUUACGGUUAGGCAUAAGGUUAGCAGUGUGGUUACGGUUAGGCAUAAGGUUAGCAGUGUGGUGAAGGUUUAAAAUAACAUUUUAAGAAGAGGAAUUGAAGAAAUGGACAGGGGUAACGACCCUAUGGCUGGGAUAACUAGUAUCACGCCCCAAAAUCUCCUAGGAAAAACUAAUUUGUGAGCUUCUUAGCUUACACUUCUGAGGAGUGUUCAUUUGGGUACACCAUUGGAAAUAGCUUUGAACAAUUUAGGUUUACGUUCCAAAAGUUGUUAUUGGACCAGUACAGUUCAGAGAACACUCAGCACCAUUAGGCUGUACCAGGUCUUCAGCCUGGUUAUAUUUUCUACAAAUGCCUCAACAUCCUUCCUUCCUUCAAUAAUAAUUGUUCUGAUUUGACAGGGUCUGUUGACAGAGAUGUGAUGGAGAGAAAACAACCACAGGACAGACCAGAUAUAAAUCACCAAGAAAUGACUGAAGGAAGAAUUCAACAGGAUCUCUGUCUUCAGGGGGACUAGAGGAAUACGGCCCUGUACACUGACCCAGGCAAACAGGGGAGUCAUUUCAUUGGUUCUAGCAGAAUUAUGGAGGCGUGUCUCUACGAGGUUGCAAUGAAAUCGGGGUUAAGAUUUGUAUUGCUGCAAACUGAACAUAAAACGGUUGAUCAGAUUCACUGUUUUCAAUAAAACAGCACCAACUCUUUUAUUGUACACAUUAGACAGUCUAACAGAGAGGUCUUUGGAGACUGACUUCCGCCCUCUUUGAAGCAGAGGCCCUGCCCUCACUGUUUCCUGCCCACUUCCUGGUUACGACAAUAGAACCCCAGGGCCACGUUCAGCAGCCAAAACGUUGCAGAUAGAAACACCAGAAAUAGAGCCAACAUGAUUCCUUAUUCUACAGGACAGAGAGGCAUGUUUGUUCUACAGAGCAUAUUUCUAUCUGAACGUUCCCAAACAUUGUGUCUUGCUGAACGCGCCCCCCCCCCCCAGGGGGAAUGGAUCAUUAUCAAUGUGGCAGAUGAAUUGUAAACAGGGCUGUGUUCAGCAGAGCACACUGUUGUGGAAUGUUCAGAUAUGUUUUUGUAGAACUAACAUGCCUCUCUGACCUGCAGGAUGAGGAAUCACAAAGCUUUAUUCAUGACAUUUGUCUGCAACGCUCCACAAUGUUUUUAACUGCAGACUGAAUGAGGCUCAGAUGUGUAUUUGCAUGUUACAAAUAUUAUUAUUAAGACCUGACCUGUUUUCCUGCUCCUCUACGUACAGCCUGUCUUCCCGGCACAACGCCCCUCUACGUACAGCCUGUCUUCCCGGCACAACGCCCCUCUACGUACAGCCUGUCUUCCCGGCACAACGCCCCUCUACGUACAGCCUGUCUUCCCGGCACAACGCCCCUCUACGUACAGCCUGUCUUCUUCCCGGCACAACGCCCCUCUACGUACAGCCUGUCUUCCCGGCACAACGCCCCUCUACGUACAGCCUGUCUUCCCGGCACAACGCCCCUCUACGUACAGCCUGUCUUCCCGGCACAACGCCCU